GGAAACGAUAGCUAAUACCGCAUAACAGCAUUUAACCCAUGUUAGAUGCUUGAAAGGAGCAAUUGCUUCACUAGUAGAUGGACCUGCGUUGUAUUAGCUAGUUGGUGAGGUAACGGCUCACCAAGGCGACGAUACAUAGCCGACCUGAGAGGGUGAUCGGCCACACUGGGACUGAGACACGGCCCAGACUCCUACGGGAGGCAGCAGUAGGGAAUCUUCGGCAAUGGGGGCAACCCUGACCGAGCAACGCCGCGUGAGUGAAGAAGGUUUUCGGAUCGUAAAGCUCUGUUGUAAGAGAAGAACGUGUGUGAGAGUGGAAAGUUCACACAGUGACGGUAACUUACCAGAAAGGGACGGCUAACUACGUGCCAGCAGCCGCGGUAAUACGUAGGUCCCGAGCGUUGUCCGGAUUUAUUGGGCGUAAAGCGAGCGCAGGCGGUUUAAUAAGUCUGAAGUUAAAGGCAGUGGCUUAACCAUUGUUCGCUUUGGAAACUGUUAGACUUGAGUGCAGAAGGGGAGAGUGGAAUUCCAUGUGUAGCGGUGAAAUGCGUAGAUAUAUGGAGGAACACCGGUGGCGAAAGCGGCUCUCUGGUCUGUAACUGACGCUGAGGCUCGAAAGCGUGG
rnacentral:rRNA from 1 species